UACGUAGGGUGCAAGCGUUAAUCGGAAUUACUGGGCGUAAGCGUGCGCAGGCGGUUUUGUAAGUUUGUCGUGAAAUCCCCGGGCUCAACCUGGGAAUGGCGAUGAAGACUGCAAGGCUAGAGUUUGGCAGAGGGGGGGUAGAAUUCCACGUGUAGCAGUGAAAUGCGUAGAUAUGUGGAGGAACACCGAUGGCGAAGGCAGCCCCCUGGGUCAAAAACUGACGCUCAUGCACGAAAGCGUGGGGAGCAAACAGG
rnacentral:rRNA from 1 species